AGACUCCUUAGCUCUGGUUAAAUAGUUAUAAAUGUUUCUCCUUAAAGGGUGGAAGCCUUGCUUAGAAACCAUAUCUCACCUUGCACGUAUUUAAUCUAUUUUUUCCUUUCCCCUUUUUUGUUUCCCCAGGAGAAAAUAAUGAAUGUCAAAGGAAAAGUGGUCCUGUCAAUGCUGGUUGUCUCCACCGUCAUUGUUGUGUUUUGGGAGUAUAUCCACAGCCCAGAAGGCUCCUUCUUGUGGAUAUAUCACUCAAAGUAAGUGCUUUGAAUUCUGGAGGUCUAUGGGAUGUCUCCCGUGUCCCGUCUGGCACCCCCCACAGUCUAUUUUUAGCAUGGCAGCGGGUGGUGGAGCCCUGGUCAAGGGCUAGAGGGUGAAGAAAAAAAUGGACUCCCCGCCUCCCAUUCCCUAGACUGGCCUUUAUCCAACUGUGACUAUUAUUUGGCCCUUGCUUCUCAUCAAGGGUUUCUUUACGUGGUAUCAUUGGGAGAACAUUCUGCCUUGCUGAUGAAAAGAAUCAGGACAGGUAUUCCCCCUUAUGCUGCCCAGUAUAUGUUCUAUAAAGACCCUUGCAAGAAAUUCCUUUGAGACAAAGAAUCAGGAAAAAAAAGUCAGGGUCUCCUGAUGAGCUCAUCUUUAUUAUUAUUAUUACCAAAGGCAGCGAGAACUAGGUAAGCCUUCAUUUUUCUGUCUUUGGCUUGAUUGCCAGGAGGCUCAGGGUAAAGUCUUGCUUAACUGCUUUGUACUUUCCUCAGCUUUCAUUUCUGAUAUUAUUCCUGCCCUGGUGUUAAAUCCUGGCUUUUAUGCUUACAUUCUGUGGGAUCUUGGCACUUGGCCCAAACCCACGUGGCCGAAUUCUCAGCUAUGAAAUGAACAUAAAGGUAAAAACCUUUAUUCUCAUGAGUAGCUGGGAUGACCACGAUCAUACGAAAAACACCUACCUGGGUGACUAAAGAAAUAGUUCUCUUUCUGUUCCCUUUUUGUUUAUUUAAGUCUUAUGUGGUCUCCCUGUGUAUGGCAACCACAUAAAUUAUCAACCAUCU
ensembl:lncRNA